rnacentral:rRNA from 1 species
AGCGAACGCUGGCGGCAGGCUUAACACAUGCAAGUCGAGCGGGCAUCCUUGUGGUGUCAGCGGCAGACGGGUGAGUAACGCGUGGGAACGUGCCCUUCGGUUCGGAAUAACUCAGGGAAACUUGAGCUAAUACCGGAUACGUGCGAGAGCAGAAAGGUUUAUCUGCUGAAGGAUCGGCCCGCGUCUGAUUAGCUAGUUGGUGAGGUUAUGGCUCACCAAGGCGACGAUCAGUAGCUGGUUUGCAAGGAUGAUAAGCCACACUGGGACUGAGACACGGCCCAGACUCCUACGGAGGGCAGCAGUGGGGAAUAUUAGACAAUGAGGGCAACCCUGGUCCAGCCAUGCCGCGUGAGUGGUGACGGCCUUAGGGUUGUAAAGCUCUUUUCGCCGGGGCGAUAAUGACGGUACCGGAGGAAUAAGCCCCGGCUAACUUCGUG